rnacentral:rRNA from 1 species
CCUACGGGAGGCAGCAGUGAGGAAUAUUGGUCAAUGGACGAGAGUCUGAACCAGCCAAGUCGCGUGAAGGAUGACUGCCCUAUGGGUUGUAAACUUCUUUUAUAUGGGAAUAAAACGUUCCACGUGUGGGCUUUUGUAUGUACCAUAUGAAUAAGGAUCGGCUAACUACGUGCCAGCAGCCGCGUUAAUACGGAGGCUCCGAGCGUUAUCCGGAUUUAUUGGGUUUAAAGGGAGCGUAGGUGGAUUGUUAAGUCAGUUGUGAAAGUUUGCGGCUCAACCGUAAAAUUGCAGUUGAAACUGGCAGUCUUGAGUACAGUAGAGGUAGGCGGAAUUCGUGGUGUAGCGGUGAAAUGCUGAGAUAUCACGAAGAACUCCGAUUGCGAAGGCAGCUCACUGGACUGCAACUGACACUGAGGCUCGAAAGUGUGGGUAUCAAACAGGAUUAGAGACCCGAGUAGUC